rnacentral:rRNA from 1 species
GAUGGACGCUAGCUACAGGCUUAACACAUGCAAGUCGAGGGGAAACGGCAUUGAGUGCUUGCACUCUUUGGACGUCGACCGGCGCACGGGUGAGUAACGCGUAUCCAACCUUCCCAUUACUGUGGGAUAACCUGCCGAAAGGCAGACUAAUACCGCAUAGUCUUCGAUGACGGCAUCAGAUUUGAAGUAAAGAUUUAUCGGUAAUGGAUGGGGAUGCGUCUGAUUAGUUAGUUGGCGGGGUAACGGCCCACCAAGGCAACGAUCAGUAGGGGUUCUGAGAGGAAGGUCCCCCACAUUGGAACUGAGACACGGUCCAAACUCCUACGGGAGGCAGCAGUGAGGAAUAUUGGUCAAUGGACGGAAGUCUGAACCAGCCAAGUAGCGUGCAGGAUGACGGCCCUAUGGGUUGUAAACUGCUUUUGUAUGGGGAUAAAGUUAGGGACGUGUCCCUAUUUGCAGGACCAUACGAAUAAGACCG